rnacentral:tRNA from 1 species
GGCGGUCUGGUGGGUGCGCUUGGUUACGCGGUGUCCUCGAAGUACCUGAGCCGGCGGGUGACCAUGCUGGCCGCGGUGCUGACGCUGGGGGUCGCGA